CAGGACCCAGCACGGCGCCCACCACAUGCACAGCGCAGCCGUGGGUGCCAUCGCUCCAUCCCUCUGGGGGUAUGGACAGUGCAACAGGACUCCUCCUCGAUGCUUAAACUGAUGAGGAACUCAAAUGAAUAUCUGCCUGAGAACUGCAUGGCACUUCCGAAAUCAUCUCAUUGAGCCAAGUCACGGUGCCCUACGUGCAUCAGAAAGCCAGGAUUUCUCUGAGGAUGCAUCUUACACUCUUCUCUACCUUCCCUCCUCC
rnacentral:lncRNA from 1 species